UACGUAGGGUGCGAGCGUUAAUCGGAAUUACUGGGCGUAAAGCGUGCGCAGGCGGUCUGUUAAGACCGAUGUGAAAUCCCCGGGCUUAACCUGGGAACUGCAUUGGUGACUGGCGGGCUUGAGUGUGGCAGAGGGGGGUGGAAUUCCGCGUGUAGCAGUGAAAUGCGUAGAGAUGCGGAGGAACACCGAUGGCGAAGGCAGCCCCCUGGGCCAACACUGACGCUCAGGCACGAAAGCGUGGGGAGCAAACAGG
rnacentral:rRNA from 1 species